rnacentral:lncRNA from 1 species
UGAGAUGAAGAUGAAGAACUGCUUGCAGAAAUGCCUUGAGAGAACUGAGGUUUAAAGAGUGAGUGAGAGUGAAAUGUGUGCAAAGUGGGAAAUGAGUGUUUAAAUACCCAAAUAAGGGCGCAUGCAAAACGACACACAAAUCAGAGUUUAGCACAAAAACCAAGUUAGCACGUUUAGAGGGAGAAAUGAUUAUAGCUCAUAAAUGAUGUCUAAUCCCAACAGUCAGC